GGGAGUAUGUAUAAUGGUUCUGAUGUUAUUUGGGAUGUGAUCCGUUCCCAGUACCUUAAGUUCUCGGCUGGUGCGAUUUCUUUGUCUCGGACCCGCAUUUUCAUGGAACGAAAAGAUUUCAUCGCCCACAAGCCCACUAGAUGCACAACGUAUCUUACCCAGAUGCACAGAGUAUCUUGCCCAGAGUAGGGGAAUCUAGGACCAGAGGACACAUGUUCAAGGUGAAGGGGAAAAUAUUUAAUAGGAAUCAGCGCGCUUUUGAAUUCUCUGCCACAGAAGGUAGUUGAGGCCAGUUCGUUGGCUAUAUUUAAGAGGGAGUUAAAUGUGGCCCUUGUGGCUAAAGGGAUCAGGGGGUAUGGAGAGAAGGCAGGCACAGGCUACUGAGUUGGAUGAUCAGCCAUGAUCAUAUUGAAUGGCGGUGCAGGCUCGAAGGUCCGAAUGGCCUACUCCUGCACCUAUUGUUUAUGUUUCCAUGUUUCUAUGUUUUGCAAAGUGAUCCACUUCUGUCAGAGGUAUUGCAUUUGUUGCAAAAUGUUAAGCAGCGGCCUAGCAUUUUUUAGACCCAUAAUACAGAAGGCUUACCUGUCUUGUUGCCCCGUCCACUUGUCAGCUUUGAUAGUUAGUAUGCCUUGUGAUAAAUUCUAAAUAGCGGUCCAAAUUUCGGCCCCAGGUUUUCUUUGUCCGAGUAUCUCUCGGCAAUGUUUGGGAUUGACGUUCAGUGUUUUAUUGAGUAGCUUCGUUGCUAGUUCUGCGUCGCUAGAUCUUAACGAGAACAUUGUAUUCCGCACGUGAUGUCAAAAUGGGCUGUCCCAAUGGUGAAGUACAACGAGCCAACGCGAUCAAUGCUUUCGGAGCGGAAGCGGCGUGUGACUAUUGUCACGUCACCACGCUCCGAGCUCCGUCAACGCUACAGUCCGAUUAAGGGUCUCGAGUGGAAGCGUUGCCUGUCCGUUCCAUUCCACAGCUACUGCCUUCAUCCUGCAGUUUGAAUGUUAUUAUCGCAGGAUUCCAGCGUCCACAGUCUCGGAGAGAAAUGCCGGCAUUAAUUUUACUAUUGCUUCUCAUAACAAGCAGCGAUGGCGACCUUGUGCUGACGCAGCCGGCAUCGGCGAUGUUGAACGAUGGAGACGCUCAUCUGAUCCAGUGCCAUGUGGCGGGCGGCGACAUCAUUGACCGAGUCAUGUUCUGGUACAGGCAGCGUCCAGGGAAAUCUUUGGAAUGGGUGGUUAGAUACUUCGAUUCGUCCUCCGUCAGUUAUGCUCCGGAGAUUCGUGGCGGAUUCAAAUGCACAGCCGAUCGCUCGAACUUGUAUUUAGAGAUAAGACUGGCAGGGGUCGAUGAUAUUGCGGUGUAUUUCUGUGCAGCGGCACACAGUAGUCUAACUAUCGGCUGGUCUGGUUAAAAACCCUAAAUGCAGUAAACAGCUGGGAGCUCCCGGAAUGAAAUUAUAAGAACAUAAGUGGUAGAGUUAUGUCUUUAUUUUUUAAUUUUU